rnacentral:rRNA from 1 species
ACGACUCUCGGCAACGGAUAUCUCGGCUCACGCAUCGAUGAAGAACGUAGCAAAAUGCGAUACUUGGUGUGAAUUGCAGAAUCCCGUGAACCAUCGAGUUUUUGAACGCAAGUUGCGCCCGAAGCCAUUCGGCUGAGGGCACGGUCACGC